AACGGAACAAAGUAGUACCUCUUUACGUUCUCCACCUUAAUACUCACUCUCUAGAAACAUCAUCUUAUAUUAUCCAACGGAACAAAGGAGUGCCUCUUUACGUUCUCUUCCUUUACUUUUGAGAACCUUUUAGCACUAUUCAUCUUCUUAUUGGAACGAUUUAAGAACUCUGGAAGCGAGGUUUGAUCUCUGUGUUUGAAGUUGCUUUUUAUCAGCUGGGUGGUUCCAUUUCAGGAUUUUGAAGCUUAAAUUUGCUCGAAAAAAGCAGGAAAUAAUCUGACUGAUAGAGGCGGGAUCCAAACCAUUUUGUAGAGACAUCCUAUUAGCUGUCAGGAGACAUGAACAUUUUAUGCAAGGAAAGCACAGAGUUGAACUCAUGGAACUCUCUAUACACAAGUAACGAAGACGAUCAGGAUCGUGAUAUGCGUACGGAGUAGGAGAACUUGCCGCUUUCCACACUUAUUGGUGAGCCCACACCUUUGUUCAUGGAUCACUCUCUAUCUUUAUUAUUGUUUUAGUUUUUGGGCUGCGUCCUGAAGUUAGACACUCGUUUGCUCAUAUUAGAGGCUCCAUAGAUAGACGUUUAUACUGUGGGGUAGAUGUUGAAGUCAUUGUUUGACUCAUUGGGUGUUGCUACGGUUAUGACAACACAUUUAUAAUAGAUUUCCGUUGAUUUUAUUUCAUAA